GCCCGUGUGGCGGAAUUGGUAGACGCGCCAGACUCAAAAUCUGGUGAUAGCGAUAUCGUGCUGGUUCGAUUCCAGUCGCGGGCA
rnacentral:tRNA from 2 species